CCUACGGGAGGCAGCAGUAGGGAAUAUUGGGCAAUGGGCGGAAGCCUGACCCAGCCACGCCGCGUGCAGGAAGACGGCCCUCUGGGUUGUAAACUGCUUUUAACUGGGAAGAAAGCAGCUCAUGCGUGAGAAUUUGACGGUACCAGUUGAAUAAGCCACGGCUAACUACGUGCCAGCAGCCGCGGUAAUACGUAGGUGGCGAGCGUUAUCCGGAUUUAUUGGGUUUAAAGGGAGCGUAGGCGGCUGAUUAAGUCAGCGGUGAAAGGUAGCAGCUUAACUGUUUUACAUGCCGUUGAUACUGGUUAGCUUGAGUUGACAGAAGGCAGAUAGAAUUCCUGAUGUAGCGGUGAAAUGCUUAGAUAUCAGGAGGAAUACCGAUUGCGAAGGCAGUCUGCUGCAGUCACACUGACGCUGAGGCUCGAAGGUGCGGGGGAUCAAACAGGAUUAGAUACCCUGGUAGUCCGCACAGUAAACGAUGAUUACUAGAUGUUGGCCAAGCCAGUGUCCAAGGGAAACCGAUAAGUAAUCCACCUGGGGAGUACGCCGGCAACGGUGAAACGUUAAAGGAAUUGACGG
rnacentral:rRNA from 1 species